UCGGAAAGCCUUAGGCAUGCAUUGUCCUAAUUUAAACAGCACCAUUGGUGUCGGUAUUGGACAUUAAAAAUAAUAAGAAUAAUGUUGUUAACAGUGAACUAUGUAGAUUACUUACAUACAUAGCCUUAGAUGCUUCAUCUGACCAUUGCCCAUUCUUCAUAUGAGUACUCAACCAAAGAUUUAAAUCACUUGGUUCUUCUCC
rnacentral:lncRNA from 1 species